GUGAGUAACACGUGGGUAACCUGCCCAUAAGACUGGGAUAACUCCGGGAAACCGGGGCUAAUACCGGAUAACAUUUUGAACCGCAGGUUCGAAAUUGAAAGGCGGCUUCGGCUGUCACUUAUGGAUGGACCCGCGUCGCAUUAGCUAGUUGGUGAGGUAACGGCUCACCAAGGCAACGAUGCGUAGCCGACCUGAGAGGGUGAUCGGCCACACUGGGACUGAGACACGGCCCAGACUCCUACGGGAGGCAGCAGUAGGGAAUCUUCCGCAAUGGACGAAAGUCUGACGGAGCAACGCCGCGUGAGUGAUGAAGGCUUUCGGGUCGUAAAACUCUGUUGUUAGGGAAGAACAAGUGCUAGUUGAAUAAGCUGGCACCUUGACGGUACCUAACCAGAAAGCCACGGCUAACUACGUGCCAGCAGCCGCGGUAAUACGUAGGUGGCAAGCGUUAUCCGGAAUUAUUGGGCGUAAAGCGCGCGCAGGUGGUUUCUUAAGUCUGAUGUGAAAGCCCACGGCUCAACCGUGGAGGGUCAUUGGAAACUGGGAGACUUGAGUGCAGAAG
rnacentral:rRNA from 2 species